rnacentral:lncRNA from 1 species
AGCGGGGAGGCUGUCGCAGGGGUCCAAGGGCGAGAUGAUGGGUGGCAUCAUGAGACUGUAGAUGCCAGGAGGCUGAGCUCCAUAUGGGGGCAGGACCACCGUUAGACCUGGACUAAGGGGGCUCCUGCUCAGCACCCAGAGAUUUAGAAGGCCCCUUAGUGUGCUCUCUCCCCCCUCACUCUCUCCCCCCGCCCCCCACACACACUUUAUUACAUAGCACUUAAGCAUGUCUCUUGGGAUCUGGCACCUGGUACUGCCCCGAGUGGCCUGUACCCCUGAACAGCCUCUUUAUAAGCAGCCCUGUUGAGGCCCUAUGGAAACCACGCUCUACCCUCAGCGCUGUCCUUGAACCAACCUGCCACACCCUAUCAACUGCCUGGUGGUUAGUGGGCACUGCUGCUGACCUAGGAGAUGGCUUCAGGGCACAGGGAGGUCACAGCAAACUUGGUGGAACAGAGAAGAUCAAUUAGUGCUCGGACUCCUCUUCCUAGUCAGCUGUGCAAUUGCAUUAUCAACUGUGCUUUCCCAAUAAUACCGCAAGUCCCUUUGUGAUGGUCAAGCCAAAGUGACUCCAUUUUGUUUAGUAACUCCAAUAGAAGGGUCGUGACUGGGGCAAGAUGCUCUUUUCCUUUUGCUAUAGAAACCUUUAAGAACACGGAACUCCCUAAUGGGGCAUUGUUUCUGUAACUAGGGUAACGGGGCUCUGUUUCUGUAACUGGGGUGACUGGGCUAACUGUGAUUGGUUAGGCUUCCCUCCACCUGACCCCACUCUCCUGCUUCUGUAACCCGACUUGCUUACAUUGGCUGGACCCUGAACAUCCCUUUUGCGGUUUUCAGGCUUAUAAGGAGCGCCCUUGCAAUUGUUCAGGGCUGAUCAGGGGAACAGCUUUAUGUUCUGGUCAGCCGCCACCGGUGUGCUUCAAUAAAGGCUUGAUUCGAUUAUACGUGAGUGGUCUGGAAGUCAGUUUAUGAAACCCUGGGACGAAGCUUUAACUAUAACAUCUGGGGGCUUGUCCAGGAUCCAUUUCUUCCCUACCCUCACGCCAAAUUUGCCUCCAACGACGGGCCUUUGGACCUCGGCCCCGGAGUAGAGGGGAGCUCCUGAGAGACGUUCCUCAGCCUCACUCCAGGGGGGACCCCAAUCCGUCCGAGGAUGCUCUGAGAAGCCUCCUGCAGGCCUGUCAGUUCUGGUCCACUCCUCUGGGGACAAGGUCAGAUUGGACGCAGUUGUUUACACCAAGUCGGGGACGGGACGAGAUGUCACAGGACUAGACUUUGUCACUGUCUCCCUGGAGGGCUCCCUGUGUGACCUCAUCUGUCUGUAUCUGGGGGCAGGACGAGAUGUCGUCUCUGUCCCCCGGGAGGCCUCCCUGCAGGGCCUCAUCUGUUCCCAGGGGCAGGAUGAGACGUGGUCUCUGCCCCACUAGAGGUCUCCCUGUGUGACCUCAGCGAUUGUUGCUUGUCCUGUGUCUGUUCUGCUGUUUGUCGUUUCUCCAGCGUCUUCUUGCUGUUUGUCAUUGGUCCAGUGUCUGUUCCUCGGCCGUUUGUCCUGUUUGUCUGUGCGAGUGUUGUGCGGGGCCCUUUUCUGGUUCCCAUAACCGCUCUCUUUCAUCAGGACUCCUUCGCUCCACCACAUCAUGGACAGGAAGCGCUACAGAGGUCUCUACCUGGACCCCUUUAACUUGUUUUCUUAACAAUUUUCAGGACUUUGUCUGUUGGUUGGUUUUUGUUUGUUCCCUUUGUGUUCUGCGUUAGUUUCUACCUCAGUGUGUUUCUAAUGGAAAAAAAAAAUGGUUAAAACAGCUUUAACUGUGCUCACUACAGCUUGCAUUAAAAUGUAAAGUGCUGCCGACAGGACUAAAAGAAUGGUCAAAAGUAAAAGCUAAAGGUAAAAAGAAAAAGGCAUUCUAGAGAUUGCCUUCACUUAGGAACUGGGCCAGGUGGCCAACAGGGUAGAUCAUGUCAGUUCCUGUAGAGGACAGAUUAAAACUAAAGUGUUUCAUAAAAUUAUUAUUCCUAAAUUGUAUUACAACAAACAUGGUUUUGUCUAGGAAAUUUGGCUUUUGUCUCUCAGUAUUUGCAAGCAUGAAUAACUCCCAACUAUUAAAAAAUAGUCUAAAGAUUUUUCAACGUCAGGCUAAAAGUUGGUGGCCACCAUCCAAGAAAUCAGAAAAACCAGUUUAAAAUGGGACCCCAACCUGGGGGACUCUCCCAAGGAGACCAAUGGAGCUGCGUCUUUGGGAAGUUCCUCCAGGGAAAAAUUAGCCCCCUUUGUUUGUCUAUGUUCCCUCAACUCUUUUUAGCUUUCAUGAACAGGACCACCUCAGGAAAAAGGUCAGAAAGGCUUAUAAGAUUCUAUGUUUGUUAAAUUCAUGAUUUCGAUCUGACAUUAGUAGAUGACUAUGUUUUUCUGAUUACACUCUGCUUUAUUCUGAUGCCAGUUUACAAGGGUCAACUCUCAAUCCAAUAGGUUUUUUUUUUUUUUUUAUUAGCUACACAUGAUAUUACAAUGAUCUUGGCAAUUCAUACAUUUGUAUCAUUGGGGUAUAAUUUCUCAUUUUUCUAAUUGUACAGAUUGUGGAAUCACACUGGUCAUAGAGUCACCUAUAUACAUACAUCAAUCAUAAGGUCUAUUCUAUUCUGCUGCCCUUCCUAUCCCCCCUACUCCUCCCCUUCCCUCCCAUCAUUUCUCUCUAUCCAAUCUAAUGUGAUACACUUCCAAUAGGUUUUUAAAAAAUAACCUACAAGGCUUUUGUCUGUUUGCUUUGUGUGGGUACACCAGUGUACUGUCUGUUUCCACGUAUCGCCAUGUUUAUAUAUAUUUGGUAACAAAAAUUGGUAUUUGAGCUCAUAAAUUAGAAUUAAAUUUUUUUUAAAAAUGAAUCCAAAUACCUUUGGUUAAUAUGAUUUAAAAGAUUCUAUUUAAAUUGGGAAAAUAAAUAAAAAUACAACUGUCUUUAAAGUUACUAAUACACAGUUUUGUUUCUAGGUGAUCAAACAGAUGUUAAUAAAAUGUUAAUGUCUGUAAAGUAUCUAACAUCCAUUGUCUCUAGGAUUUUUCUUCAACAGAAAAAAAUUACUAAUCCUAUUCAAUGCACUUACUGAUACCUUGUUUUUUAAGAAAUAUAUGUAAAUUACAUCUGAUAUGUAUGAAAUUAAUCAUGGAUGUGUUUGUUAGAGACAUCUAAUUGGUUUACAAAGUUAAAAUGCUGACUGUUAAAUAUGAUAUCAAGUACUCUUAACUCCUUAAAUUCCAUAAGGUAAAAUACUUAAACAAUGUUGGUGUUUUCAUAAAUUAACAAAAAAUUUAAAAGUAUUUUGUGUUAUCACAAAAACAAGGUUUCUAUAAGUUAAAAGUCCAGCAGGUAUAAUUCUACAUACAGGAAGUCAAAAGGUUUCAACUGCAUUUCAAUUAAAGUACUGUAAAUAACAAUUUCAUCUUAUUAAAAUGGAUUAAUUUAUCUAAAUUCAGAAAUUUAUAAGGGUUAUUUCAAGGUGUAAACAGAAAGAAGGAUCAAUGGGUUAAAAAUUAUUAAAAGGUUCUAAAUAUAAAAAUAUGUUUAGUUAAAAAAAAUGCUUCCUGGUAAAAAAUUCUUUAUGUGGUAAAGUAUAAUUAUAAUACAUCUAAGUAAACAAUAAAAGGGUCUAAUUAAAUAAUAUGAAGGUCUAUAAAUAAAAGAUGAAUAUUAAAAGGUUUAUAUAUAACUAAGUUGAUUAUAUAUGUAACACAAAUAGUUAUACAAAAAAGUUAUACAAGGUCUUUCCUACAGACAAAUAUUAAUGUUCUGAUAUAUUUAUAUGCUAAAAUGACAAAAACUUCUAAAAAUUACAUUGUGUCUGUUAAGUUUUAUUCUCUAGAGCAACUAAUCUUGGAUAAAUUCAGUUUUCUACAUCUGUAGCUAAACAGCAACUGUUAUUUUAAAGUACUGCCCUACAUUACAGAGUCUAGAUUUUCCUUUAAAAGCUAACCUUGGUUAAUAUAAAAACAUCAAUAAAAGUGUGGUACAUUACUCUUCUUUACAGAUUAAAUGUGUUCAUAUCUUUCAGUAAAGUCUUUAAGGUAAAAGGUUUAGAGAAACAUUUUAUCAAGCUGGAGUUCUCCAAACUAAAGUUGUCUGUAAUGGUCAUUUUACACUUAUACUGAUAAUAGGUUUUAUUGGGGAUUUAUUUAUACUAUUUGAUGUUUUGUAACCAAACCUUAUGUUACCUUUUACAUUGGGAUAUAAAUAUUUUAAGGUAUUUUAAAAAGUAAUGAGAGCCUGAUCUGUUUAAAGGUUGAUAUUAUAAAACAUUUUGCCACUUUUCACACAAAAGGAAAGUCAAGAGCUCUCAGCCUUUUCUUGAUUCACGUUUCAGAUGUAUAUCAUAUUGUGUUAGCUGACAUUCACCCAGAGUCAGGAAACAAUAGAUGUAAACUUUACAGAAUGAUAUCUAAAGACAGAGACAGAGAUCAGCUUCAGAACUAAAGCACUUUACCUAAGAUUUGUAAAGAGCCCUGUCUUACCCGAGAUAAGGCUCUGCCUCCCACCUUACAGCAUGUCACAAUGACUUCCAAGUGGGCCAGAUUUCAGUUGAUUUGAAAAGAUUGAUUUUAUUGGAAAGAUUACUGUCAUCUCAAAUAGGAAAUAUAAUGUAUAACUCAGCCAAGGUUCAAAAUUUAUGUACAAGCUAAAUACGUUUUUACUAUUGUUAAUUUCACUUUGUAUUUUCAUUAUAACUGGAAGGAAAGUGACCACGACCCUCAGAGCAACCAAGAGACCUUUAUUGUGGCAGUGUCUGAUUAACAGGAAAGGAAGAGACAAGAGAAAGAGUGAGAGAGGAAAAGAGAGGGUGAACCGGCAGGAGAGAGUUUCUAUAGCCAAAAUCUUAUGGGGUCUCUGGGUCUGCAAGCUGCCUUUUUGGCGUACAGUAGUUGCUAAGGGUGUCAUCUGCUGCCUUCGGGCAGACUGGGCAGGGGUCAGAUGUGGGUUUCUGUUGCAACAGACGGGUGGGAGUCCAGUGUUCAACCUUGAGUGAGUGGCGUUGAGUGUUCAGCCUUGAGUGGAGUUGAGUGUUCAGAUUUGAGGCAAACAAGCAAAGCUAAUAUUUGUUCAGCCUGCUCCACAAGUAACAAUAACUGAUGCCUGUUAAUGUUUUACAGAGGUAAUACUUCAUGAACACACAACCUAGAUUGAGAUAUUAAGCCAUCAUCUGUAGACAGAUAAUAAUUAAAAGGGAUUGAAUUAACUGUAAAGGGGCUAAAGUUAUGGCUCGGCAGUAGAGUGCUUGCCUUGCCUGGGUGAGGCACUGGGUUCAAACCUCAGCAUUACAGGAAUCAAUAAAUAAAAUAAAGGGGCUGGGGAUGUGGCUCAAGUGGUGGCAUGCUCACCUGGCAUGCGCGCAGCGCUGGGUUCGAUCCUCAGCACUACAUACAAAUAAAAUAAGGAUGUUGUGUCUGCCAAAGACUGAAAAAUAAAUAUUGAAAAAUUCUCUCUCUCUCUCUGAAAAUAAAUAAAAAUAAAUAAAUAAAAUAAGGAUAUUGCGUUAUGUAAAAAAAAAACUAUAAAGUUAUAAACAUUAAAGUUAAAGCCCAGUAUUCUUAGUUUAAGACUGGUAAGUCUGACUUGCUGGAUGUUUAAGGCCAAGACUUAAACAUUUAGGUUAAAUAAAGGGGCCAAGGAAACCAAUAUUUGGCUCUUGCCCUCUGAGUCAGCCUGAACCCAGGACAGGGGAAGAGCUUUACAACUCCAGCCACAUAACCUCCCGAUAAGGGAGACUAAUGAGACCCCUGGAGAGCAAAAAGCCAAUGAGUGUCCAUGCUGCAAAAGAGGAGGGUCAUUGAACAGGGGAGACAUGCCUGGUACUUCCAAGGGAAGCCGCAUGGUCAGCAAGACCUUGACCCAUCCUAAUGCAGAUGACACUAGCAGAGCUAAAAUGCUGCUCACAAGUUCCCCAAGAAUGUCCUCCAAGGAAACUCAGCUGACUCUUACCAAAAGGUAGGAACAAGGUCACUUGGACCAACCUGGUCGUAAACCCCUAGGAAAAAAAACAGUUAAAACCAAAGCACAGCCAUUCCUGGGCAUUUAAAAAGAAACAACAGUUAUUUUAAUGUAACUUAAGAUGUACACUAGUGUUAACACCCCCAACAAUAAGUAAGACUGGAGACAAAAAAAAAAAAAAAAAAAAGAUUCUUAGGCAAGAAUGCCUGAUAACUAUCAAUAAAAACUGCCAGAGUCAGAAGUUUUUAGUCAGUUUAAGGCCUACAGAUCUUCCUAACCUCCUACACAGGUAGAUGUAAUCAAUGUUUAUUAAUAUAAUUAUCUAACCCUAAGUAACAAAGGGAUCUUUACUGAACACUGAGGUCAUGCCAAAAAGGUAUUUUUACAAAAAUCAGAUGACAUUAACUAAUUUAACUAAAUGUUGUGUCUACAUUCCUGAUAAUUCUGACAAUGUUAAAGAUUUAUGUUCCCGAAAAAGGGGGCCUUAUUAGGCUUUGUUAGGCCUUGUUAUGGGGGUUUAGGUUAAAAUAAAGGAGUCAAGAAAACCAAUAUUUGGCUCUUGCCCUCUGAGUCAGGUCGAUUUCUCAGGUCUUCCGCCUCCUGGUAAAUGAUUAUUAAUUUCUGUCAUUUUCAUGAUAUUCAUGGACAGGUUUCAAAUGCUACGACUGCUAUUUUGUAUGAAUCUUACUUCAGCACUCAUGUCUUUUUGCUUCUCUCAUAGAAGUGCCCACUCCAGGUGAAUUUACAUCCUGUUCUUCCUGAGCCAGAUUUUUACCAUGGACUCCUAGACCCAUGCAAUUUCUAAAAAGGGACUCCAAGCUGCUUUCCCACUGCCCCCUCUCAGCUCAAAGCAGCAAGAACGGUCAUCAUCCUUUUUCCUUACAGCAGUAGGAGGUCCCUAACAUUAGAGGGGAAGUUACGGUCGGUAUAGAUAUUCACAAUUAUGUCUGGCUCAGGAAGAUGUACCUGGGGAACUGCUCCCAAGAUCGCCCUGGGUGAUCUCCCAGGAAGAGACACUUGCUUCCACAACCCAACUUAUAAGUGGGACAACUCCCCGUUCACCAAAAAUUGUGCUUCUGGGGUCCCACUGCGAUCGACCACUGAGCCAUACUUUCUUGUUUCUCCCAAGGGAAUUCAGUUUUCCUGCACAUCUGGACUAACUCCUUGCCUAAAUCUCCAAGCUAUCAAGAGCUCUGAACUAUGUAUCACAAUCCAUUUAUUUCCUCAAACCUACUAUUUUGAUGGAGUAAAAUGAAAAGAACACCUGGAUUUAUUUUUUUAAAAUAUUUAGUUUUUAGUUAUAGGUGGACACAAUGUCUUUAUUUUAUUUUUAUGUGGUGCUGAGGAUCGAACCUGGUGCCUCAUGCAUGGUAGGCGAGCGCUCAACCCCUGAGCCACAACCCCAGCCCCACACCUGGACUUAUUACAAGGCCAGGGCCCACUGAUUUACCGACACAGACAGGCUGCCCCCAUUUUAGUUCCCCUCCUGGCUGCAUUGGGAAUAGCUGGAUCUACUGCUUUAGGAACUGCAGCUCUUAUCAGAGGCUCUGAAAAUUUUAAGUCCCUCGAUAUAGACUUAGGAAAACUAGAAAGGUCAAUCUCCAAACUAGAGGUUUCACUGGACUCUCUGACAGAAAUAGUCUUACAAAACAGACGGGGGUCUAGAUCUUCUCUUUCUAAAACAAGGAGGACUUUGUAUGGCCCUAGGGGAAAUUUGUUGUUUCUAUGCAAACCAUUCUGGGAUAAUAAAGGACAGUUUGGCACUAGUGAGAAACAGGUUAAAGGAAAGAGAGAAAGCACGAGAAGCUUCGGGCAAUUGGUUCCAAAACCUAUUCUCUGGUCCCCUUGGUUGACUACCAUCAUCUCAGCCAUAGCUGGGCCCCUAGUCCUUCUCCUGAUUGGGAUUACUGUAGGACCCUGCCUCUUAAGAACUCUCUCCACAAGAGUGGAGGUGAGGUCCAGCUUAUGGUCUUGCAAGCCCAGUGUGGUCCCUUAGACACAGAAAGGUGGGGAAAAAACCAAGGUCUAAUGAUGGGCAAGAUUGACAUCAAACCUGCUAAAACCAGUGGGAGAUGUGAUAGUCAAGCCAAAGACUUCAUCCUGUAAAACAACCAUGCCAAGUAGAAGGGUCAUGACUGGGGCAAGAUGUUCUUUUCCUUUUUCUAUAGAAACCUUUAAGAACACGGAACUACCUAAUGGGGCAUUGUUUCUGUAACUAGGGUAACGGGGCUCUGUUUCUGUAACUGGGGUGACUGGGCUAACUGUGAUUGGUUAGGCUUCCUACCACUUGACCCCACUCUCCCGCUUCGGUAACCUGGCUUGCCUUGCAUUGGCUAGACCCCAAACAUCCCUUUUGCGGUUUUCAGGCUUAUAAAGAGAGCCCUUGAAAUUGUUCGGGGCUGAUCAGGGGAACAGCUUUAUGUUCUGGUCAGCCGCCACCAGUGUGUUUCAAUAAAGGCUUGAUUUGAUUAUUUGUGAGUGAUCUGGAAGUCAGUUUAUGAAACCCCGGGACGAAGCUUUAACUGUGACACCUUUCCUCUCAGCAUGCACUGGGGACAUCUUCCUGAUUUUAAAAUAGGCAGAAUUUGCAGCUAUUGCACAAGGUUGCUGAAAAACCUUUUGCAAUAUUAAAUCAUUCCCAUUAUUCCUGAAUCUGUGGCCAGGCCCAGGGCACAACCAUCAGCAUGAAUCAGUUACCUGGCGUUGGCCACCAAAGGUUAAAUGCUAUCCUCUUAAAUUUCUUCAGUUAUACAAACCUUUUGGACAAGAUUUAAAUAUUUAAUUAACUGAAUUCCCAAGGCUUUAUGUAUAUACUUUGACUUUAAUGCUUAGGGAUUUAGGCCAACAUCUCUGGGCUCCUAUUUUGGUUCAUGGGCAGAGGGGUGAGCAGAGGGAGUCCCAGCUCCCCAAGGCCUGACUCUGAGUAACCCCAGUGCCUCCCUUGAAGGAACGAGGCUCCCCGCUGUCCCCACUGUUGCUCAGGCUGCCCUUCGGGGGUCUCACUCUCCACCCAAGAGGUCGUGUAGACAGUUCUCCAAGUGUACCCCAUGCCCACCCUGGCUCAGUUCAAUUCGCCCCUUCUCCUUACAUCCUUGGGAUUCUUAAGGGUCUCUGCAGUCUUCUUGGUCAGCCCUUCCUAACCUAUCUCUCCAUCCGGCCUUGGCUCAGUGUCAAAAGUUCACGGGGAAAUAAAGAGAGAGAAAAAAAACCUCAGGGAAGUCCAGGCUGGUGGUGAAGCAUCCCCUGGGCAUUACCAUUUGCUAGCUGUGUGACCUUGGGCAAGUUUCUUAACUGCUCUGGGCCUGAAUAUCUCUACCUGUAAAAUGGAGACAAUAUUAAGCUGACUUCAUUCAGUUGUCCUAAAGAUUUAAAGAGUUCAUAUUUGCAAAAUGCUUGUUACAUGAAACAAACUUCCUUCUCAGUUCCACUGAUCGAACAGCCGUCACCUUGACUUUGAUGCCAAGCUGGGGUGGGGGGGGGGGAGAAAGCCAGGCGCCUGCUCUGCUGGUGCAAGACAGUGACUGCAGCUUAUGGUCUCUUUUUAAAGGUACCGAGAGGCACGAGCACCUAAUGCAGGUUGUUUCCCCAUUGUACAGGCAGCUCAGAAAGGCGCAAUGACCUGGUGACAGGCCACACGGCAGGUGAGCCGCAGGUAACCUGGGAAAUGCACCCUCUGAAAAAGCCACUUCCUGCCUUUCUCCGUCAAGGCCUCUGCUGAACUUGAGUCUGAGGUCCAACCGGCCCCGCCUUCCACGUGGACCACCACAGGGGAUGGUGAGCAAAGCCAGGGAUCCCCAUUAGGGAGGCCCGGGCGCCGUGUCUGGCCCGAGAAAUCAGGCAGGAAGAUCUGCUCAAGCCACGGACCAUGUGGCCUCUUUAGACUCAGCCUCCUCGUGUGAAAGGCCAGAGUCGCUUGCAAGGCCAUCGAGUGUGAGCGUGUCCCACCGCACAGUACCAGGACGGUGGCGCCUGCAGAGUUGCAGCGUGGUCAUCUGCGGGGGCCAUUGUUGGGUUGGACAGGACACAAGGCAGCUGAAGGUAGGUCACCCAUUCCCCGUGUUCAUCUUCCUAUUAGGAAAACUAGCCCCUCUGUGGCUGGCAGGCCGGGGAGGGCCCCGUCUCCACUUCACAGAGAGAAACUGAGGCCCAGAGAGCGAGAAGGAGCCCCCGCCCAACGCCCAGGGCUGGGCCCCGUCAGGACGUCAGACUGCUCCUCGGCCAGCCCCUCCCUUCUGGCUCUCUUUCCCUCACUUUCCCAGAAUCUGGUCGCUGGUCACUGUGGCUGGACAGGGCUAUGGGCACAGAUCUUGCAGGGCCACCUGGGCUUUCCCCUGGCGUCAGCUCAGCCGGGGAGUCCACCCUGGGUACUUCCUGACACAGGUACUUCCUGGGUACACCUGUUGUGCAACAGGAGAUUGGGACCUGGGGGACUGCUGGUCCAGGAAGUCCUUCCCAGCCUGCCCCCCUGUCCCUGCCAGGAAUGAACUGGCCUCGCCCCAAUAUCCUCACUGGCCAGGUCACAGGGCCUGCGGAUCGGAGACCAGUCUGAUUGUAGUGCCACAGCUUUUACACAGCCCCUUCGUCUUUCCCAUCUGUCCCUCUCGCUGGUCUGCUCUCCGGGACGCUGACUGGGGUGCACCCCUGGGUCCUGCCCCACCCCCCAGCCGGGUGCCACCCGGACAGCUGUGCUCCAGAGUCCCAACACGGCUCACCCCCGAUGUGGCAGCCCCACGCCCUGCUCUUCUGUGCAAACCAUGGCUGGUCUUGCUGCCCCUCUGGGCCUCAGACCCCCAGCCUGCCCCGGGCCCAUGGGAAGCCCCUUGCUAUUUCCAGCGUGCAGACGAGGCUCGUCCCCUCCAGCUGAGUCCUCAGACUUUGAGCCACUCAGACGCACUAUCGGAUUGCUCCAGAGCCCAGUGUCCCCAUACGACUCGACAUGGAGAAGGUGCCCAGUGGCUUGUCAAGGAAAUGAAGAGGAGAGGUCCUUCAGCAGGUCGGGCUGCUUUCCAGGGGCUGCCCUCUGUGGCUAGAGAGCAAGGCCCCUCUCCUGCCCUCCUGCAGCUGCCUGUGGGGGAACACCCAGGGAAGCACACUGAGACCCCAGGCCACCAUCUGAAGGCACAAGGGUACGGAGGUCUCAGGAAUGGGUGAGGAAAUGGGCCAUUCCAGCCCAAUUUUGUUUCUGAUUAUCUGUCCAAGAAACGAAAAGAACAUUCUCUCCAUUCUCAAGACCUUUUUAUUGUUGUUGCUUUGGUUGUUUGUUUGUUGGGUUGUUUGUUUUCUGGUUUUUUUUGUGCACCAGGGGUUGAACUCAGGGGCACAUGACCACCGAGCCCCAUGCCCAGCUCUAAUUUGUGUUUUAUUUAGAGACAGGGUCUCGCUGAAUCACUUAGUGCCUCACUUUUGCUGAGACUGGCUUUGGACUCGGGAUCCUCUUGCCUCAGCCUCCCGAGCCACAGGGACGACAGGGGUGCACCACUCGGAAACCAUCUUUCAACCUCAGGAGAUAGCACAGUGCCACUGUCCUGGGGACUUCGGUGUGCACCAGAACUUCCGAAGGGGUUUGGCACAGCGCAGGCCAUGGGGCCUCAGGGUUUGUGAUUUCCCAGUUUUGGGGCCAGGCUGAGAAUUCCUGGCUUAAACGAGCUCUGGGUGUGGCUUCUGGUCAAUGCACCUCACAGAGCAGCCAGUGGUGCUGGGUCUAGGCCCUGGCUCUGCCUUCGCCUUCCCCUGUGACCCAGGCUCUGCUCUGGGCUUGGGUCACCCUCUAUGCAAUAGGGUGGAGUGUGCCCUGGAUGUGGCAGUCUCGGUGCCUUCCAGACCAGGCAUCCCAGCCCUGUAGUACAGCUCCUGGGCCUGGGCAGGGCACCCCUGGGGCUGCUGUCUGGGGCAGGUGGCAGAGCGGGAGCUCGAGGAGGCUGAGCAGUGGGACAGCCGAGGCGGGUUUGAAAACCUCCGGUCCCCAGUAUGAAGCCAACUGCUCGAGACCUGUUCCUUCUCUUAGGUAGAAAAGGUUGGAAAGUUCAGAUGCAUCAACUUCCCAGGGAAGGAGGAGAGAGUUAAGAAAGAAAGAAAUCAGAACCCAAGAGUCAGGAGACGUGGAUUUCCGACAGUCAACCCAGACAAGUUUAAAUGUAAGAUAAGUUUUUUUUUCUUUCUUUAAACAUAUUGCAAAUAUGACACGGAGCACACUUACACUCAAAAGGUGAUUUUUUAAAAUCUGAAAUUGAAGUUUAUUUGAGCACCUUGGGUUUUCAUUUGCUGAAUCUGGCCCGUCUCUCNGUAAACAACUCCUUAUUUGGGAGAGUUGGCGCGCUGUCCCUCAACACCCUAUGAGAAAACCCCGCGUGGCAGCUUUGGAUUGGACUUGAGUAAGCUUUAUUAGGCUAUGCUUGGGCGCUCGGCGGGGGGUCACUAGAAGAUGAUACUUGAAUCAAGGCCUGAAUAAACUGCUGAAAGAAGAAUCCUGUGUUGUGUUUUCCCUUGCCGGCGAGGGGUCGCGACACGUCUGUGCUCGCCUACGGUUUGGAUUAGCUUGACGUGACCAUCUACACUCAGCACCACCAUGAUGGCCCCCCAGUAUCCCUUGGGGUUUUGCCUACGGAGCUUCAAGCACACUACAAACAGACAACCACUGGACAGGUGUAGGGGGGGGUCAGGGUGGUCCCUGUGCCGGGACUGUGCCUGACCCUUUGAUGUAAGCUCAGGGUAAACCAGGUACAAGCCAGUGAAGAUGAAGUCACCCCUCCAGCUGACCUAAACUACAGGCACCCUCUUGGUCUCACUGCUGCCCAGGACAAUGCUUCUGUGAGUAACCCCAGGUGAACUGUGCUGGGGGGCGGCUCCCAUCCGUCUUCCUCUUUCCUGAUGCUCAUUGUACCUCGGGUGCCAGGUGCAUUCCCUGAGGCUGGAUUGUUCUGGAAUAACACAAUGGCAUCUUGUAGGGAAAAGGAGUGAAGUACCCAUAUAUGAUACGGCAUGGAUGACCUUAAAAGCAUCACGCUGACAGAACAUGUCACCAAAGGGUACAUAUUGUAGGAUUCCGUCCAAACGAAAUAUCCAGCAUAAAUGAAGCAACAGAGGCAGAAAGUUAGGUGGUGGUUUUGUAGGUUCUGGGGAGGCAGCGAUGGGAGUGGUUGCUAAAGAGAUGUCGGGUUUCCUUCAGGGGGGUGAGAGUGUAUGGAACUAGGUGGGGGACAGAACACUGAGAAUGUACCAACUGUCAUUCAUUCCUGGCCAACUCUAUCUUAUAUAUAUUUUGCCUCAAAAAUAACAAUUGCUCAUGGUAACCUGGGUGUAUGUCCUCCCUGUGCAUCAUGGCUGGAUUGUAUUCCCCAGGAAAUCUGCUGAAGUCCUGACCCCCAUCAGUACCUGGGAAUGUGACCUUAUUUGGAGGGAGGGUCUGAAGGGUAUGGAAAUUGAUAACCCUCAGGACAGGGAAAUGACAAACCUCCAAAACUGUCUGACCUGGAGGACGAGGGAGGAGGAAGGCAUCCUGAAUCCUUCCCAGGACACCCUUUCUCAGUGACAAGGGGUCCCCAGGUUUCACCCCUUCCCAGGUUCAUCCCCAGCAUGGCCACCAAAGCACACACUCAUCCCUCCCCCACAACCGGUCCUGAAGGCUGGGCCCUGUCCCAUUGCCAAUGAGUCCUGGUCAUUAGGGUGUGGCCAAGUCAUAUGCCUGGUGUCCUUCUGAAAAAUGUGAACACAGAGAAACAGGGAGAAUGCCCCCUGACCCCUGACCUUUGAGGAAGAGACUGGAAGCCAAGGAAUGGCCGGGGCUACCAAAUGCUGGAGGUGAGGCCUGGGCACUAACUCUGGGUGGUCUGCCUAGCAGGGGCACUGGCCGGGGUUGGACCCCCAUACUGCAAGUACUGAUACGAAGGAGGAGGAGGAGGAGGGGGAGAGGAGGAGCAGGAGGAGGAGAAAGGGGAGGAGGAGGAGGAAGAGGAGGAGGAGGAAGAGGAUGAGGAAGAGGAGGAGGAGGAAGAGAAGGAAGAGGAGGAGGAAGAGGAAGAGGAGGAGGAGGAGGAGGAAGAGGAGGGGGAGGAAGAAGAGGAGAGGAGGAAGAG